rnacentral:rRNA from 1 species
AUGAAACUCUCCCUGCUCUCGCCAGACAAUGUUAUGCAGACUCUGGGCGCCGAGUUUAGGGAUUACUACUGGCUCCCCGCGGAUGGGACAAGAGGUGGCAACAUCCUUGCUUGGUGUGCGCACCACGUUUCCCUCUCUAACUGUACCAUUGGAACCUACCACGUUUCCGCUACUGUGAUGAUGGCCUCGGGUGGCCCCCCUUGGUGGAUUACGGGAGUCUAUGGGCCCCAAGCUGAUGCGGAUAAGCUCGAGUUCCUCGUUGAGCUUCAAGACCUUCGAUCCACGAUGGCUGGCCCCUGGAUCCUUGGAGGGGACUUUAACAUGAUUGCGUCUAAGGACGACAAGAGCAAUGACAUGAUUAAUCUUUGCAUGAUGAACUGUUUCUGCCGUCUCAUCUCCGACUUGGCACAUCUACCUUCAUGGCCGGCGUUACACUUGGUCCAAUGA